rnacentral:rRNA from 1 species
UUCUUGGAUGAGUUGCGAACGGGUGAGUAACGCGUAGGUAACCUGCCUUGUAGCGGGGGAUAACUAUUGGAAACGAUAGCUAAUACCGCAUAACAAUGGAUGACACAUGUCAUUUAUUUGAAAGGGGCAAUUGUUCCACUACAAGAUGGACCUGCGUUGUAUUAGCUAGUAGGUGAGGUAAUGGCUCACCUAGGCGACGAUACAUAGCCGACCUGAGAGGGUGAUCGGCCACACUGGGACUGAGACACGGCCCAGACUCCUACGGGAGGCAGCAGUAGGGAAUCUUCGGCAAUGGGGGCAACCCUGACCGAGCAACGCCGCGUGAGUGAAGAAGGUUUUCGGAUCGUAAAGCUCUGUUGUAAGUCAAGAACGGGUGUGAGAGUGGAAAGUUCACACUGUGACGGUAGCUUACCAGAAAGGGACGGCUAACUACGUGCCAGCAGCCGCGGUAAUACGUAGGUCCCGAGCGUUGUCCGGAUUUAUUGGGCGUAAAGCGAGCGCAGGCGGUUUGAUAAGUCUGAAGUUAAAGGCUGUGGCUCAACCAUAGUUCGCUUUGGAAACUGUCAAACUUGAGUGCAGAAGGGGAGAGUGGAAUUCCAUGUGUAGCGGUGAAAUGCGUAGAUAUAUGGAGGAACACCGGUGGCGAAAGCGGCUCUCUGGUCUGUAACUGACGCUGAGGCUCGAAAGCGUGGGGAGCGAACAGGAUUAGAUACCCUGGUAGUCCACGCCGUAAACGAUGAGUGCUAGGUGUUGGAUCCUUUCCGGGAUUCAGUGCCGCAGCUAACGCAUUAAGCACUCCGCCUGGGGAGUACGACCGCAAGGUUGAAACUCAAAGGAAUUGACGGGGGCCCGCACAAGCGGUGGAGCAUGUGGUUUAAUUCGAAGCAACGCGAAGAACCUUACCAGGUCUUGACAUCCCGAUGCUAUUUCUAGAGAUAGAAAGUUACUUCGGUACAUCGGUGACAGGUGGUGCAUGGUUGUCGUCAGCUCGUGUCGUGAGAUGUUGGGUUAAGUCCCGCAACGAGCGCAACCCCUAUUGUUAGUUGCCAUCAUUCAGUUGGGCACUCUAGCGAGACUGCCGGUAAUAAACCGGAGGAAGGUGGGGAUGACGUCAAAUCAUCAUGCCCCUUAUGACCUGGGCUACACACGUGCUACAAUGGUUGGUACAACGAGUUGCGAGUCGGUGACGGCGAGCUAAUCUCUUAAAGCCAAUCUCAGUUCGGAUUGUAGGCUGCAACUCGCCUACAUGAAGUCGGAAUCGCUAGUAAUCGCGGAUCAGCACGCCGCGGUGAAUACGUUCCCGGGCCUUGUACACACCGCCCGUCACACCACGAGAGUUUGUAACACCCGAAGUCGGUGAGGUAACCUUUGGAGCCAGCCGCCUAAGUGACAG